GCCAGACAUAAAUAUGCCCAUGCAGACGUUGAUGCAAAUUGCCCGCAAAUACAAAAUUUUGGCGUCAUUCUCAUAAUUUCAGGAUCGCCAAUAUCCACUAAGAUACAAUCUUUCAAAGUCUUUAAAUUAUGACAUUUACCCCCACAUUUUUUCAAUAUUUUCCUUUUCCAACUUCAAAAAUAUCCAAACUUCAAGGUACAUUUUGCUGUUUAAUAAAAGUCCGUUUUUCUUGAAUCAGGUUGCGUCUUGUUCAAAUUCAGUUUCUGAAAACUCUUGCCGUCAGUAACAAUGCCAUUACAACUUGUUGGCAGAUUUGGUACAGAUUUGUGAACUACAAGCUUGCUGCCUUGCUGGACUUG